rnacentral:rRNA from 1 species
GACGAACGCUGGCGGCGUGCUUAACACAUGCAAGUCGAACGAAGUGGCGAACGGGUGAGUAACGCGUAAUCAACCUGCCCUUAAGAGGGGGACAACAGUUGGAAACGACUGCUACUACCGCAUACUGAAGGCGGGGAUUGCGUGUGAUUAGCUAGGUGGAGGGGUAACGGGCAACCAAGUCGAUGAUCGGUAGCCGGUCUGGUCGGAUGAACGGCCAUAUUGGGACUGAUACACGGCCCAGACUCCUACGGGAGGCAGCAGGGGGGAAUCUGCCGCAAUGGACGAAAGUCUGACGGAGCAACGCCGCGUGAGUGAUGACGGCCUUCGGGUUGUAAAGCUCUGUUAAUCGGGACGCGGUACCGGAAUAGAAAGCCACGGCUAACUACGUGCCAGCAGCCGCGGUAAUAC